AUUGAACGCUGGCGGCAGGCCUAACACAUGCAAGUCGAGCGGAUGAAGGGAGCUUGCUCCUGGAUUCAGCGGCGGACGGGUGAGUAAUGCCUAGGAAUCUGCCUGGUAGUGGGGGAUAACGUCCGGAAACGGGCGCUAAUACCGCAUACGUCCUGAGGGAGAAAGUGGGGGAUCUUCGGACCUCACGCUAUCAGAUGAGCCUAGGUCGGAUUAGCUAGUUGGUGGGGUAAAGGCCUACCAAGGCGACGAUCCGUAACUGGUCUGAGAGGAUGAUCAGUCACACUGGAACUGAGACACGGUCCAGACUCCUACGGGAGGCAGCAGUGGGGAAUAUUGGACAAUGGGCGAAAGCCUGAUCCAGCCAUGCCGCGUGUGUGAAGAAGGUCUUCGGAUUGUAAAGCACCUUAAGUUGGGAGGAAGGGCAGUAAGUUAAUACCUUGCUGUUUUGACGUUACCAACUGAAUAAGCACCGGCUAACUUCGUG
rnacentral:rRNA from 1 species